rnacentral:rRNA from 1 species
UACGUAGGGUGCAAGCGUGUCCGGAAUUAUUGGGCGUAAAGAGCUCGUAGGCGGUCUGUCACGCGCUGUGAAAACCCGGGGCUCAACCCCGGGCCUGCAGUCGAUACGGGCAGACUAGAGUUCGGCAGGGGAGACUGAAUUCCUGGUGUAGCGGUGAAAUGCGCAGAUAUCAGGAGGAACACCGAUGGCGAAGGCAGGUCUCUGGGCAUUAACUGACGUGAGGAGCGAAAGCAUGGGGGAGCGAAACAGG